AUUGGCGGAUAUCAAUAAAACUGAUAAUUGAUUAUUGAUCAUCAUUCAGCAAUAGAACUACUUUAAGCAAUUAUUCAUGGCUGAUAGGAAGUGGAGACUGGGAGGCAGAGAUCACCCAAAAGCUAUCUGAUAAUUCCAUGUAUAGACUAGAAAUUGAAACGAGAUCUUCAGACUCAAAGGAUGAACUCUGGACCACAAUGGCUAGAACAGAUAACGGAAUAAAGAUGAAAGUCAGUUGGGAUUAAAGAAUUGAAUGUCUAUCAAAAUGGAAUCCUGCAAAGGCAAGAUCAUGGGGUGGGGGGAUGUCAAAAACAGCAGUAUGAAAGUUGUGGCACUGCAAUAUCAACACCCAUAUAAAAGGGGCGGGGCUUGUACUGUGAUGCUGUGCCUGCCCUCUUGCCUAUUUUGAUUCCUCCUGUGUAUGCCACUGCUCAUGUACACUAUGCCUGAUUUGAGAUA